rnacentral:lncRNA from 1 species
UUUUACGAAACAAAAUUAAUUCUGUAAAAUUAACUUCGGAAUUUUUUUUUGUGAAACAUAUUUCGUAAAUCAAAACAAACAGUUUUUUACGAAAAAACUUUUGUAAAAUCAAUGUAACUCAACGAUUUACGAAAAAAAUCUUGGGGAAGGCACAUGACACUAGAACGAAAAAGACAGGAGAAGAGCUGAGUGUGACUAAUCGCCUACACUCUCUAUCCUCCUCCACAUCACCCAAUCCCCUCUCCUCCUGCACAUCGCCC